rnacentral:rRNA from 1 species
CCUUUGACGUUAGCGGCGGACGGGUGAGUAACACGUGGGUAACCUACCUAUAAGACUGGGAUAACUUCGGGAAACCGGAGCUAAUACCGGAUAAUAUUUCGAACCGCAUGGUUCGAUAGUGAAAGGUGGUUCUGCUAUCACUUAUAGAUGGACCCGCGCCGUAUUAGCUAGUUGGUAAGGUAACGGCUUACCAAGGCGACGAUACGUAGCCGACCUGAGAGGGUGAUCGGCCACACUGGAACUGAGACACGGUCCAGACUCCUACGGGAGGCAGCAGCG